rnacentral:rRNA from 1 species
AUUGAACGCUGGCGGCAGGCUUAACACAUGCAAGUCGAGCGGAGAUGAGGUGCUUGCACCUUAUCUUAGCGGCGGACGGGUGAGUAAUGCUUAGGAAUCUGCCAUUUAGUGGGGUACAACAUUCCGAAAGGAAUGCUAAUACCGCAUACGUCCUACGGGAGAAAGCAGGGGAUCUUCGGACCUUGCGCUAAAUGAUGAGCCUAAGUCGGAUUAGCUAGUUGGUGAGGUAAUGGCUCACCAAGGCGACGAUCCCUAGCUGGUCUGAGAGGAUGAUCAGCCACACUGGAACUGAGACACGGUCCAGACUCCUACGGGAGGCAGCAGUGGGGAAUAUUGCACAAUGGGGGGAAACCCUGAUGCAGCCAUGCCGCGUGUGUGAAGAAGGCCUGGGUUGUAAAGCACUUUCAGCGAGGAGGGAAGGGGUUGGGUAGCUAAUAACUGCCAGCUGUGACGUUACUCGCAGAAGAA